rnacentral:rRNA from 1 species
AAACCGUUAUAACCGGCGAUACCCGAAUGGGGAAACCCAGUGUGAUUCGUCACACUAUCAUUAACUGAAUCCAUAGGUUAAUGAGGCGAACCGGGGGAACUGAAACAUCUAAGUACCCCGAGGAAAAGAAAUCAACCGAGAUUCCCCCAGUAGCGGCGAGCGAACGGGGAGGAGCCCAGAGCCUGAAUCAGCAUGUGUGUUAGUGGAAGCGUCUGGAAAGGCGCGCGAUACAGGGUGACAGCCCCGUACACAAAAGCGCAUGUGCUGUGAGCUCGAUGAGUAGGGCGGGACACGUGGUAUCCUGUCUGAAUAUGGGGGGACCAUCCUCCAAGGCUAAAUACUCCUGACUGACCGAUAGUGAACCAGUACCGUGAGGGAAAGGCGAAAAGAACCCCGGCGAGGGGAGUGAAAAAGAACCUGAAACCGUGUACGUACAAGCAGUGGGAGCACCCUUCGGGGUGUGACUGCGUACCUUUUGUAUAAUGGGUCAGCGACUUAUAUUCUGUAGCAAGGUUAACCGAAUAGGGGAGCCGGAGGGAAACCGAGUCUUAACCGGGCGUUAAGUUGCAGGGUAUAGACCCGAAACCCGGUGAUCUAGCCAUGGGCAGGUUGAAGGUUGGGUAACACUAACUGGAGGACCGAACCGACUAAUGUUGAAAAAUUAGCGGAUGACCUGUGGCUGGGGGUGAAAGGCCAAUCAAACCGGGAGAUAGCUGGUUCUCCCCGAAAGCUAUUUAGGUAGCGCCUCGUGAAUUCAUCUCCGGGGGUAGAGCACUGUUUCGGCUAGGGGGCCAUCCCGGCUUACCAACCCGAUGCAAACUGCGAAUACCGGAGAAUGUUAUCACGGGAGACACACGGCGGGUGCUAACGUCCGUCGUGAAGAGGGAAACAACCCAGACCGCCAGCUAAGGUCCCAAAGUCAUGGUUAAGUGGGAAACGAUGUGGGAAGGCCCAGACAGCCAGGAUGUUGGCUUAGAAGCAGCCAUCAUUUAAAGAAAGCGUAAUAGCUCACUGGUCGAGUCGGCCUGCGCGGAAGAUGUAACGGGGCUAAACCAUGCACCGAAGCUGCGGCAGCGACACUGUGUGUUGUUGGGUAGGGGAGCGUUCUGUAAGCCUGUGAAGGUGUGUCGUGAGGCAUGCUGGAGGUAUCAGAAGUGCGAAUGCUGACAUAAGUAACGAUAAAGCGGGUGAAAAGCCCGC